rnacentral:lncRNA from 1 species
UAAGAAAAUCAGUGAUGGAAUUAAAAUGCCGGAAACAUGAGCAUUCACUUAAUCCCUCAAUUAUGGUGAAUUAUAAAGAACAAAUAUUAUCAAUAGGGAAUUUCAACAGAUUCAACCCAAAAAUACAUGUUUCUGUUUUCACUUCUUUUCUUUUUUUAAAAAAAAUAAAUGCAGACUAGAGAUGGCACACACACAUGAGUGAAGUUUCAGCAAAGGAAAUCAUGAGGCACUCCUUCAAAUCACGUUAUAAACUCAGGGCAGAACAUCACAAAUGCGACACAUAUGACUCAAAGGUUGCAACCGAAGAGGGUCCUGCAUUUGAAUAAACUUCGAGAAAAAUGUUAAAGCCUUAGACAGUUAACAAGAGAAUUGUUUGAAAACUUAGAUGGACAAGAUUUUGAUUCACCAAUCUGAACAUCAGAACCUCAAACACUAGAGCUUUAAUAAGUUUCUAACAGUAAAAUGAUUAAGGUAGCUUCAAACACAAGAUCGCUUUAAGAGCACAAGACGAACUCUAGCAUGCUCAAACUAAUCGGCUAAUGAAAAAAAAACUCCGACAUCCUUCUCAUGAGAGCUUAUUCAAACAGAAACCAACACUAUCGCGUUCAGAAUAAGAGCAAAACCAUGUCUCAAAUUCCCAGUUAGAGCAUGCUUAUGCUAACAGAAUUAAUAGACGUGGCAGGAUUGCUUUGGAAAUCAUUAAGCAGGUCAGUCGACUUAAAAUAACAGUGAUGGAAUUACCACACCAUUACUUAGAACAGACUCAGUCCACAAAAAAGUCGAUCAUAACACAAAAAAAUCACCCUGGACUUAAUCUCAAAAAAAGAAUACUGAAACAAAACAGAAUUGCAAGAACAAAAGAGAUGAAGAUUGAACCUGAAGCUGCAAAAUCCGUUUAUACAACAUGUAGACUCGACAACACACUUCUCGACUAAAAAUCCUAGCGAGGUUCAGCAACAAUUCAGCGAGACGACAGUAAAACCCAGCUUGAAGUUCAAUGUUAUCUUCUUAGAACUCAAAUAUGUAUUUUAGAAAAAUGAGAAGAAGAAAUUGUAUCUAUGCUUCUUUUAAACUACAAUGGCCUCGUCCAAGAAAAUCUACUCCGAAAAAACCAUUUGUUCAUAGAAAACGUUUCAAACCUUUUUUUCUUUUUUCUCCAUUUCUUCGCCUCCCUCACGUAAUUGGAUAAAAUCUAUUUUGAAGACCAAUCUUGAUGAAUAUGGGGAUCAGAUUGAGUGAAAUCAAUCCAACGUCUCACACUCAUCUAGUAUUUCGUCUUCCAGAACCUUCCAAUCGUGUGUUUUUUCUCAAAAUCGAGCGAGUGGGAGGAGGAGGAAUCUUGGCAUCAAAAGUCGUUAGCAACAACAAAAGGAGAGAUAGAAGGACGCGUGGGUUAGAUAUUGAUGCCACUUGCCAUAGAUUUUGGGCUGAAAUGGGACUUGGGUACGUGGGUUCUCCAAAGAAGAAGAAUACUGACGCGUUUGGGGCUUAUGGAUUUAGGACUCGAUUCGAUUUCUGUGUGUGUAAACGAUUAAGUGGGGAAAUGAGUCGGGUUGCGGGGAGUUGGGCUUGGGCGACGGGUGUGAUCCAGGUGUGUAUGCAUUUGGGCUAG